rnacentral:lncRNA from 1 species
AAGAAACAAUCUAAACGUGCGUACCUCAGAAGUUCGUUAGAAACUCUUAUAUACCUGGGCACUUUCUCUCUCCUGGCAGUUACACAUCUGGACACGUGGCUCGCAUCCAGCUGUACACGUGCCAUCAUCUGGAGCAUCCUUGACUUGGGCGCUACUUCUUACUCUUCAGGUUUUUUGGCUAAGUUACUUAUGCAUGAUACAACUCAGUGCAUAGCUGCCUUGGAGCGUGAUCUCUUCUGGGUGGC